rnacentral:rRNA from 1 species
UACGAAGGGGGCUAGCGUUGCUCGGAAUCACUGGGCGUAAAGCGCACGUAGGCGGAUCUUUAAGUCAGGGGUGAAAUCCUGGAGCUCAACUCCAGAACUGCCUUUGAUACUGGGGAUCUCGAGUCCGGAAGAGGUGAGUGGAACUCCGAGUGUAGAGGUGAAAUUCGUAGAUAUUCGGAAGAACACCAGUGGCGAAGGCGGCUCACUGGUCCGGUACUGACGCUGAGGAGCGAAAGCGUGGGGAGCAGAACGAGUAAUUACGAU